UCUGCUGUACUUUUCCAACUUCACAUCUAUUGACUCUUGCUGAAAGUACUUUUGGGUGAUCUCCUGUUGUGUCAUUAUUACAAUGACUAACCUAUGAUGUAUUUAUUUUUACAGUGGUGUCAAUAUCAAGCAGUCCAUACCACCCAUAACACCAGGGUACAUAACGGUGGAGCCCUCAUCUCAAUCAGCUCCAGGUCUUGGAGAAUGUAUCCGGAGACAGCCCCUGGUAUCACCGUCUGGUUUUUAUUACAAGGACCAGUGGAUGUCAACGAUCUGCAAUAUUCACCGCUUUGACACUCCUGCAAAAAUUAAAGAAUGCCUCCAAAGAAAAAUUGUCUACCUUCCUGGAGAUUCCACCAUGUGACAGUGGUUUGAAUACUUGACUCAGUUUGUGCCAGAUCUCAAGAGAUUGGAACUUGGCAAUCCUAUCAUGGUGGGUCCUCAUCUUGCUGUGAAUGUGGAGAACAACAUCAUGUUAGAAUAUCGCCCUCAUGGUCCUCCAAUCCAAUUCAGUACCAUUGCAAGCCAGCACUUACAACUCAUUUCAAGUAAACUGGACGAGAUUAAAGGAGGGAAAAACACAGUUAUAGCUAUUACCCUAACGGCCAUUUCACCCCUAUUCCUGUCGAAGUUUACAUUAGAAGAAUACAGAAUAUCAGGAGAUCAAUUCUCCAGUUACUCGACAGGAGUAUGGAUACACUGGUUGUAAUAAAGAAGGUCAAUGUCCGGGAAAACCCCCCACAGAUCGUUACCUAUUACAGUGACUGGUACGCUUAUCAGAUUGAUUGAUUCAGUGAUGAGGAAGAUGUUCACAGGCAUCAAUGUGGUAUUUGUAGUUGCCUGAGAGAUGACAAUAGCACAUUACCUUCCUCACAAUAUACAUCCUGAGAGAAUUAUUAUAAAGAAUGAAAUAGAUGUGUUUCUUUCAUAUGUGUGCCCUUCUAUACAAAGAUAAACACUGUUUCACAAUGUUUACCCUCUUUAGAGAUGGGUUAAUGUCACCUGAGAUAAUGCACUAAGAAAGCAGCAAAGAAACUUCCAUUACAGCUGGGAAUGUGAGUUCUGUCAUGGAAUUGGCCUCCACAUUUCUGGUGGAAUGGAGAGACUUUAAGGUCUGCACGAUGUCCUCUGUAUUCUCCAGAAGCCUUGACAGUGCCAGAAGGCCAGUAUGCCAAGUCUCUCAGUGAGUAUGCUCACCAAUGCUCCUAUAAGAGUUCUUUCCAACAGAACCCGUCUGUGACCUACCCCAACAGUGAGCUGAUUCACUUGAAGCCCCCUCCCCUUGGUCUGUUUGGAGUCCACUCCUGCUCAGCAGCUCACCCUGUACUGAUCCCGAUUCUGUUGAAUCUCCCAGUUAUGGUCAGUCCCACAGAUCAAGCCAUAGUGCCUCAACAUCCCUUGUGUGGUUUAUUGUCUCUCUCUUUUUAUUUACCUAUGGGACAUGGGCGUCAUUGUGAAGCCCAGCAUUUAUUGCCAUCUCAAGUUGCCCUUGAGAUGGUGGUGGUGAGCUGCCUUCUCAAACUGCUGCAGUCCAUGUACUGGAAGUAGACCCACAAUAUGCUAGGGAGUGAUUUCCAUGAAUUUUACAAAUCAGCAAUGAAGGGAUGGCGAUAUAUUUCCAAGUCUGAAUAGGAAGGGUUUGGAGGGGAACUUGUAGGUGUUGAUGUUCCCAUGUAUCUGCUGCCUUUUUCUUCCAAAUGAUUGUGUUUGGGGGUUUGGAAUGUGCUAUUCUAAAGAUCUUUAAAUGAAUUUUAUCAUUAGGUGAAUUUCCACAGUGCACCUUAUAAUGCACACAUCCAGAACUGAGUGUUGGUGGUGGAGGGAAUGAAUAUUUGUGAAUGUGGUUUCAAGCAGGUGGGAUGCUUUGUGAUGAGUGGUGUUACUUCUUGAGUGUUGUUGGAACUGCAGGCAGACGGAAAGUAUUCCAUCCUAUUGCUGACUUGACCUCGUAGAUGACAGGCAGGGCUUUGGGGAUUCAGGAGGUGAGUUACUCGCUGUAGAAUUCCUUGGUUCUGAACUGCUCUUGUAUUCUUAGGGUUAGGAGUUAAUAGUAGGGUAUUGUAAUGAUAGUGUUAUUUGAACGUCAAAGUGUGGUUAGAUUAUCACUUGUUGGAGAUCACCUGGUAUUUGUGUGGUACGAAUGUCAUUUGCCACUUGUCAGUUCAAGUGUGGAUAUCGUCUGGGUCUUGUUGCACUUGAACAUGGACUGCUUCAGCAAAUGAGGAGGCAUGAAUGGUACUGAACAUUGUUCAAUUAU